rnacentral:lncRNA from 1 species
UACGUGGGCUUUAGCGCGAGCUGGGCGGUCGGCCCGGUCCCACCGAACUGCAUAGGGCCGUGUAGCCGGGGGAAGUCAGCCCCCUGCUCUGAGAAGCAGACUCUGCAUCUGUAAAAGGCUAAGCGUGCCCACUGGGGCCUGUGGUCAGGAUUGGCUGCAGUGAGGUCCGCAAAGCCCCUACCGCAUCCUGCGCCUUCGUUAGGGUGAGCAGUCAUGGGGACUCGCAUUGUGCCACCACGUAGCGGGUCUCACUGGGUCCGCUUGUCUGCUCGAGGAGACAGCCGGUGAGGACGGGAGCUGGCCUGCUUUGCCCAGGCUGUAACCUCAGCCUCCGCCCAUACCCACAGAUCGCUAUGGUCACAAAGCCCAGAAGCCAGCUUGAAUGGGGCUCCUGCUGGCCAGAAUAAUGAAGGACAGUAAAAGAAAUAGGAGUCAUGAGUCCAGGCCCAGGAGCGAUGGACAGAUAGAAUAAAUGCAGGACAAGGGAGGGCACGUGCUUGCAGUAGCAGGCCUAGGGACAAAUGGUCAUGCAGGAGGACUAGAGCUGAAAAGCCAUCAUGUUGCAACCACUGAGUGAAGAUUGAUUCAGGCAAGGAUCAUUCACGGGUGCUUCAUCUCGGGGUUCUUUGGAUGGGGAGCAGGAUAUUUGCAUUGUUUUAAAGGAUAGUCCCACAGAUCACUUAUUACUUACAGGAGAAAAAGUAGUCAUAAUACAAAAGAAAAAUGGACAAUGCUUGGAUACCAUAAUAAAAAUUAACACUACCAACAAGGAGCAUGGACAUUGUGUGGCUUCAGAUGUAAUGUGAAGGACAACCUCCGUUGAAAAGGGCAACUGCUGUAGUAUUCUAAUCUGGAAUGCAUCACCUAAUCCUAUCAUAAGAAGACAUUAGGAAAAAAAAAAUAAAGAUAAUUCCAUUUUUUUAA